GGCGUUUGCGCCCGAAAUUUCUCCCUUUGCCUAGGUACCAUGGAGGAGCAGUUUCUUUGCUCGUUCUGUCCCUAGGCGUGCCUGGCGUGGCGGCAUUUUGCCAUGUGUCGGCUGGCGUUCCGUGCGUCGUGUACAAGUUUUCCUCGUGCGUCUCCUUGGGUGUUGCUGGCACAGUGCACUGGCGCGAACGAUUGUUGUCGUUUCGUCAGUGGUCUCCCGUGAAGAACCUGUCACCACAAAAGUGAAUUGACGUCAGUGCAAAGAUUUAAAGGAUACAACAUUUCCUGGGAGUGUUCUCAGCCUAGGUUGUGAAAGACUGCUUUAAACUCAUGGGGACAACUGAGAGUGACAAGAGGCAUUAUUUUGUUGAGACUUUUAAAUCAUCAUGAUGUCGAUGGCACUGUCUACAAAACUAUCACCACUGGAUUGCCCCUCUUCAGCGGGCAAGACAGCAGCAGCACCAAUAGAGAUCGUGCUGUCGAGGACCAGAUUCAUCGACGCAGGGUCUGAGCAUGCACUGCAUCAGGCCUAUCUACUGGUACCUCUGGCUGUCUGCCCUGCUGGCUUCAUUGGACGAAACAAGUCGCAGGAAGCUGUACCACGUGCACUGCACUGGGACCAUCUGACCAGCACGGUGACGUCGACGGAGACACCAUGGCACCCGGAUAAAAGCAGCAGCCUUUUCGACGUUACCUUCAGUGGACUUGGAAGCACUGAACGAGUACGGAUGCUGAUCAAAUUUUUUCUGAUCGCACAGAGUUCAUCACAUGUGCAUGUGCAACACAUUGGCGGAGGCAAUACGAACUGCAUUUCUCUCUAGCUGGACAAGUCGGAAUGGCAAUGCACCUUGGAGAACAAGACUCGAAUUGUGAAAGUCUGGUGAAAUAAUCUUUUAAACUGGUUUAUUAUUAGAGGAGACAGCAGAAAUUGAAUGCCCUCUUACCACACCACCAUGAGGUGAGCAUGACUGCCAACAGAGAGACACUCUGCCUCGAGUAGCCUCCGCGAGAGACGUUCCUUCCUCGCCUUGUCACAUACAUGAGCCAAAGAACCACAUCGGGUUCACGUGACUAGCACCACCCGCUUUUUUUUUUCUUAUCCGGUUUUGUUGCAUGGCACAUUUUCCACCGUGGCAUUGCGCAUUCUGAAUUGGGCGAUUUACCUAAGUAAUGCGUCAUGGCGAGCGACACUUUUAAGACUAUUUUAUUUGUGUUGCCUUGACUCUGGCUGGGUGUGGCGCUUUCUCGAGAGGGAGGAAAGUGGUGUUUCAUUUGAAAUUUCAGCGGUCUGUGUGACAUGCACAGAUUUGUCAUGAAUACCCGUGUCAUGUGCUGUAAACUUAAGAACAGCAUUAAAUACAUUCUCUUAGUGGUGAAUGCAACCCAUACUUAUCUUUUGCGCACAAAGAAAAUGUGAACAGUGUACAGUGCUCCCACUUCUGCGUCAGUCUGAUAAAAAGGCCAACAAAGAGUGAUACUGCACUAAAUCAAGUAUCUUGAAAUUGGGAGACAUACUAGGGAUGCUUCUGCAGCAGACAUGAUUGGCCAGAGAGGUUAACAAUGUACAGCUGCUUGCAGUGACCAAAUGCACAGCACCAUCAGUUUUGUGCCAUGCUAUAGUUCUAUCAAAACCGCCUAAAAUUCUUGCAGCUUUUUAGGAAAGGAUUAGUGGCACAUAACACUGUGCCUAUUUUUCCUGUUUUUUGAAUGUAUAUUUUGCUCCCACGUAGCUGAUGCGACUCAAAGGUUUAUAGUCCUGAAAGCUUGUUUGCUUUGUUAUGAAUGUUACCAAAAACUUACGUGUGCAAGCUUACCCCUGCCCACACUAACGCAGACCCAGUGAGUUUAUUUGGUAUGGAAAGCUAAAACAAUGUAGUGGCUGCACUAUUGUUAUGAAUCUGUCGUAAUGAUAGAUGUUGCUGAUUUUAUGAAGUGCUUGUUUUCAUCACUCAGGAUAUCACCCAAAAUGCUAGGAGGCAAAAAAAAAUGUAUAUAAUGUUCACAAGAUAUGGUUGAGUAGAGGCUGGGUGGUGGCAGCCGUUUGAGGGAACGAGCUCGCCUGCGGAUCUUGCGACCACAAGAGGUUCAAGUAGAUUUUAUCGCAUUAAAGUGCAACAAGUGACUAGAAAAAAAAAGCCUGGGCAUGUCAUCAAAAGAUACCGUUGGGAACAAAAGUCUAUGGAUCUACACGCACCAUGAAAUACCCAAAUUUCUUUUCUUACUUGCCAUGUUGGCGUACACUGGUCCACAGUAAAGUUGCAGAAUGGGGCGGGCCCUCCGUUUCAUUCCUACUUGACAAAGUUGAGAUUUCUUAAUUCCACUCUUUUUAACUCCCCGGAAUGCCAAGAGUUGUACUAUUUCUCCAACUUUAAAUGAAAUUUUUACUAUAGUUGUUUACUAGUUGUGCCUUUCAACAAAAAACUUAUUUUUGAAGUUCUGACAACAUUGCAGAUAAUGUUAUGCUUCUUUAACGAGAACAUAUUCGCUCUGUGACCUUUUAUUUUUGCAGUGCGUUGCUAGCUGUAUAAUCUCUCUCAUAUCUACUCUUUUUGACAGUACAUGCAUGUUACCUGCGCAAGUGUAAUUCAUGAAUAAAUAAUGUGAUUGCAGAAUAUAUUCAGUAAUGUUAAUCUAUAAUGGCAUCAAUUGGGCAGAUUUAGUUGGAAUGGAACUGGCACAGUCCUGUAGUGCUAAACCUUCACUAGAAUAAGACUGCAAAAACAGGUAUCCUUGCCAAUUACUCUAAACUAGACUAGGCCGAAUUUUUUUACAUUUAUAAGUUUUUACUGAAUACUGGCUCUUUCAGUAUCUACCUAUAGGUCGCUAUCUCUGCCGUGGUACUUACCAACAAAAUGGUAUUCUACUUAUUGUGAAAUUCUGAAGUCCUGGAGACUGUUCCAAUGACGAGCUUUAAUUGCACUUAAACACUAACCUUUAGUUGCCAAGAAUGAUUCUAUUUAGCAAGAACAUGCUUGGACUAUGACACAAGGAUGGAGGCCAAAAAAGUUACUGCCAUUCCACUGCUGUGAAGCGGGGUGCAAGCGAAGCUUGGGAUCUGCUGCUCUUUGUAACGCCUCACGGCGAGAGCGGCACAUCAACGUCGACCCCUUUCUCGAAUGAGUUCCCGGUGGCAUCAAUCAAACAUUGCCUGUUCUUUGGCCAAACGCACAACACGUGGCCUGCUCCCACUGCCAUUCCUUCAAUGCAGCCUGCUCUUUGGCAGAACAGACCAAACGCGGCCUCCCCAUCUGACUGCUGGGUCUGAACUGGUGUCAGGCGAGCAAACACGCGAACACACCCUUUCCCUCCUCUGGAGGAAGGGGACGCCCGUGAUUGGCUCAUGCCAUGCGCUGCUUCUACUUACCCACCUUAAAGGCAGCGUUUGAUGAACUGACGGUGGCUGAAUCGGUUAGCGUGGUGGUCUCGCAAUCCGGAGGUCGGUGGUUCAAAUCCGCAGCCUGAUAAGCAAUUUCUAUUUUUGUGCAGCUUGGGUUUUUUCGCGCGGUAACACCGACACCAGUGAGGCAAUACAAGCUUCUGUUAAAAAGGUCGCAAGUGGUUGCAUCUUAUGCCCGUUCCUGUUGAUGUGGACAUUCAGUGUUAUUUUUCACUGUCAGAAGUAUCCUCGAAGAAAAAAGGGGAGGGGGUCA